rnacentral:lncRNA from 7 species
ACGGGGGCGGGGCGGCUGCUGUUCCCACGCGCGUUCUGCGCUGUGGAGCGGAGCGGUUGGGCUCGUCGGCAGAGAGCGGGGGGAGCAGCCUCAUCCCCGGUCCGUUCGUCAUGGCAUCGAUGCUCGGCCCCGCCGCGCUCCGUGAGGAACCCCCGGGCCCGUCCGCCGCCGGCAGUGUUGCGGCAGCCACGGCCCGGCCCAAGACCUGCAUCACUUCACAGCUGGACAGCCUGUCUGCUCAGCGUGAUGUAGCUGACAGGUAGAAGAAACGGCAGCAGACGUGGCUUGGUGGAAAGCGUUCCCAGCUGCUGUGGAGCCCCACGGGUGCAGCCCCCUCAAACGUGGAUGCCAUGCAGGCUCUGCUGCCCCCGGCCUAGCUCCUGUGGCCACCCCUGUGGGUCACUGCAGAACAAGGAGGUCCCAGCAGUCAGUGUAGCUUCUCCCCACCGGUUGUGAUCACAUCGUGCCUGCAGGCUGUCGUGAUCAGUCAGCACAGUAGCAAAAUAGUGCUGCUGACUCAGAGAGAGAUAAUGGAGAACAAACCUUUCCAUGCUCAUGUGAUGUGAAAAUCUCUACUGCGGUUUCCUGUUGAUCGAGGUGACUGGGAAUCAACCCCACAGUGGCCUUAGCAAGGGCCAGAGCUCUGAGCCCAGCCCAGGUGGACCUCGGCUUUCACAGCAGGACGGAGCUGCCUGACAGAAUGUGCUCCCUGUGACUCUGCUGACUUAUCCAGCCCUUAAGGGCUUCCCGGAACAGCAGCCUCACACAGCCCUGGUGCAGCACAGCACAGGAGGAGCAGCCCACAGGGAUCCCCCAGCCAAUGUCAGGGGGCCAAGAGGUGACAAUGUUGCACGUAUUGUUGCACUCUGAGCUUACAAAACACAGCUGUGACUGUCCCGUGCCACCAGCAUUGCUCUGUGUAAUAAAGAGCAUGGCAGGAUUGGGUGGAAGAAGCAACCCACUGAUAUUCCUGCCCUGCCACUGGAUACAAGUGCUACACACAAUGAUUGUAAGCAGCACAGAAACAGUGACAGCGAUAGCUCCUUUUAAUCAGCUCAGUGGGACAUCUUUCAUGUGGACGCCAUAGUUGUUGGCUGUGGCCGUGUCUCCUGCUGCACCACGUGGGCCGGGUUCUGCAGGCACUCCCACUUGUGCUGAGCCCACCCAGCCUCACCUAGCGCCGGCGUUUCAGUUCUGGAGCAUCCCAGCCCUGCGGCAGCUUUGUUUGGAUGCUGCCAGUCUGCUGCUCGUGCCCUGUGGUGGUGCAGGCGGGCACUGGGCACUCGGGCCUCUGUCUGCAUGGACGUCACCAAAUAGAGCGCUCAGUUCAAUAGUUGGUUGGUCUGAAACGUGUCCUGCUACGUUCUGUUCAGGUCCUGCGAGACAGGGAAAGCGGGACGAGGAAGAGAUUUGCUGCAGUUUUCUCAUGUUCUCAAGGCAAUGACAGGGGACAACGAAGUGCCUGGUGGGUAUAUUACUGUCUGUGCACCAGAAGACUUGGGAAACUGACGUUCCGUGUAGAGAUGCAGAAAAUUCUGAUGUCUUUGGAGAAGUAAAGCCUCUUGAGGAUGUCAUCCUCGUGGCAAGAGCAGAUCUUUACAGUCCCACUCUGCUACCUUCUUUCUCAAGAGAUCAAUGGAGAGCCUGUGGACGGGGCUGUGUUUGAGGAGGACAGCAGCUGCACACUGCCCAUCUCCCGUGAAGGCACAGAGGACGUGCAAGCAGCUGGUGCUCCAGGUAAAGGCCGUGCACAGAGCUCUGUGCCUGACCG